UAGUUACUUUUUUUCUGUGACAAAAUACC
rnacentral:piRNA from 1 species